GCCGCCAAUUCCCGCCCACAACGUCGAAUGUGUCGUAGGUCGUAACAGUCGAAUGAGCAGCAAUGAUUUGGUCACGUGUUUUAGAAGUUUGAAUUCACAAACGGAUGUGAGAUGCGUCUCCUCGACUGUGGAGCAUAUGCGGGAAAUAUAAUCACGAAAGGCAAGAAAUGAUGGCACAGCUACAGAGUAUUGAGCAAAUAGAUGUAAAUGUUAAAAAUAUUUUAUAUUUAGCGGAAAAAGGACAAGGAGCAAGUUAUUUUUUUGACUAUCUAAAAGAAACUGGACUGAACAAGAGAAUUUAGGAGGAGACAAAUAUGAACAGAAGAUGGCAGUAGUGCAACAAACCGGAUGCAAGCUGCCGCUAAACACCAAAGAAGAAGAAGAAGAAGAAGAUCAGUCUCCGACCUCAACGGGUUUGCGCGGGUAACUUAUCUUCGAUUCACUGCUUUAGUGCUUUGGUGAGCCAUCCUCGGAUAUCAUGGAGCUGCAUUUGCAUUUUGGAAUAAAGAAUAUGUUUUCUCCUGCGUUUCGAACGAAGGGUGGGCGCGUCAUCGGUGCGACAUCUCCCGGGUUUCUCCAUGUACAACGUGUGAUGGUGAUUUUCUCGUGGACGUUACUCUGGACAGAGUGAGAGAGAAGACAUUGCCCAGCCCCGUUGAUCCACUGAUGAUGAUGUUGGUCUGUUUACAGGUUAUGUGGAAAAGCCUGUGCUUGGUGGAGAUCUACUGCAGAUGACCACAGCAUCCCAGUUCCCAAGAGGGGACUGUUUUAGUCAUUUUCUACUGGGCAAACUGAAUUACUCCAGAUUAUAGAAAAACCUGUGCUUGUGGAUCUACAUCGGAUGACCAUGGCAACCCAGGUGUGGAAAUAUUAGACUGUUUUUAAUCUGAAAUCUGUGUAAUCUAAGAUGGACAAUUCUUCUGACACCAUAUGAAUGCAUACUGUCAUCUGGCAGAAGCUAGAUCAUUUAGAUUAUAAAGUUAUAUGUUUUUACACAUGCAUCUCUUUGCUUCAGAAGGCCUUUAUUAAAGGACUAGUUCACCUCAAAAUGAACAUUUCCUGAUCAUUAAAGGAAUAGUCUACUCAUUUUCAAUAUUAAACUAUGUUAUUACCUUAACUAAGAAUUGUUGAUACAUCCCU